rnacentral:rRNA from 1 species
GACAGAGGGUGCGAACGUUGCUCGGAAUCACUGGGCGUAAAGCGCGCGUAGGCGGAGGGGAAAGUCGGGUGUGAAAUCCCUGGGCUCAACCCAGGAACUGCAUUCGAAACUUCCCAUCUUGAGUGACGGAGAGGAUAGUGGAAUUCCCGGUGUAGAGGUGAAAUUCGUAGAUAUCGGGAGGAACACCAGUGGCGAAGGCGGCUAUCUGGACGUCAACUGACGCUGAGGCGCGAAAGCGUGGGGGAGCAAACAGG